rnacentral:lncRNA from 1 species
CUCGUGAUUUCACUGCGUCUGUGGCUGAUUUUAUCGAUGGAUUGAGCAGAAGCGUGUCUGAGGAUGGUGCUUUUUCGUCGGACUUUGACCAAGCGCAACG